AGUGAACGCUGGCGGUAGGCCUAACACAUGCAAGUCGAACGGCAGCACAGUAAGAGCUUGCUCUUACGGGUGGCGAGUGGCGGACGGGUGAGGAAUACAUCGGAAUCUACUUUUUCGUGGGGGAUAACGUAGGGAACUUACGCUAAUACCGCAUACGACCUACGGGUGAAAGCAGGGGAUCUUCGGACCUUGCGCGAUUGAAUGAGCCGAUGUCGGAUUAGCUAGUUGGCGGGGUAAAGGCCCACCAAGGCGACGAUCCGUAGCUGGUCUGAGAGGAUGAUCAGCCACACUGGAACUGAGACACGGUCCAGACUCCUACGGGAGGCAGCAGUGGGGAAUAUUGGACAAUGGGCGCAAGCCUGAUCCAGCCAUACCGCGUGGGUGAAGAAGGCCUUCGGGUUGUAAAGCCCUUUUGUUGGGAAAGAAAAGCAGCAGGCUAAUACCCCGCUGUUCUGACGGUACCCAAAGAAUAAGCACCGGCUAACUUCGUG
rnacentral:rRNA from 1 species